AGCCUCUUGGUGUAGUUGGUAUUAAUAACACGUCCUCGAUGUAACGAUCUGAUGUACAGAGGGAGAGCCGUGGUUCGAAUCCACGAGAGGCUG